AGCAACUUCUGGUGGAACGUGUUAUGGAACUCUUGGAGCAAUUUAUGGUGAAACGUGUGAUGGAAUUUCUGUUGCACCUCAUUAAGCAAUUCCUGGUGGAACUCCUCGAGAAAUUUCUGGUAGAACAUGUGAGGGAACUCUUUGAGCAAUUUCUGGUGAAACGUGUGAUGCAACUCCUGAAGCAAUUCCUAGUGAAAUUCCUGAAUCAAUUCUUAGCGGAACUCCUGAAGGAAUUCUUGAUGCAAUUCCUAGUGGAUCUCCUGGAGCAAUUUCUGGUGGAACGUGUUAUGGAACUCCUGGUGCAAUUUCUGGUAAAAUGUGUGAUGGAACUCCUGAGACAAUUCCUGGUGAAAUUUUUGAAUCAAUUCUUGGCGGAACUCCUGGGGGAAUUUUUGGUACAAUUCCUGGUGGAUGUCCUGGACGAGGUCCUUGAGCAAUUUCUGGAGAAACGUGUGAUGGAACUCCUGGAGCAUUUCCUGGUGAAACGUGUGAUGGAACUCCUGGAGCAAUUUCUGUUGUAACUCUUGUAGCAAUUCCUGAUGAAAUUCCUGAAUCGAAUCUUGGCGGAACUCCUGAAGGAAUUCUUGGUGCAAUUCCUGGUGGAACUCUUGGAGAAAUGUUUGGUGGAACGCGUGAUGAAAAUCCUGGAGCAAUUUCUGGUGAUACGUGUGAAUAGCGAAUAUUCAACAGAGAACCGGAUGGAGGCCGGCAACUUCGUUGAAGACCACGGACACGCUGGCUGAACGAGGUGGAAUCGGAUCUGGGACUGGAGGAACAUCACCCAAGAAGUCGAUGGUGGAGCUCUACAAUUCGCUAGGCAUAAGUGUAUCGACGCUGUAGCCAACCAGGUGUCUAGAUCAUAUUGUUCGUGCUACCACCAGGUUAUGUAAAAAAAUACCUACACAUACUUCUGGAACGAUUUUCAACUAAUGGUCGACUUGAUAUUAUCAUGGUACUUCAAGUAGGGACAUUUUUUUGUUGGCUGCGCGAGGUGAAACCGGUCCUGGGACUGGAAGAACAUCGUCCAAGAUGACGACGGAGCUCUACAAUACGCUAGGCAUAAGUGUAUCGACACUGUAGCCAACAAGAUAUCCAGAUAGAUCAUUUUGUUCGUGCUAUCAUCAGAUGUGAAAAAUACCAAUACAAACUUCAGCAGCGAGUUUCAUCUUAUGGUCAACUUGAUAUUGCCAUGGUACUUCAAGUAGGGACAUUUCGUACUUCGUACUGCAUAUCAUCAAUAAUAGCUGAAAAAGAAAAUCGAUGGUACUACAAUACUUACGAUGUGUCAAUCAUGUCCAUCGAUGAUGGCAUCUUGGAAGUCAACUCCAUUGGCGGGAAACCCAUCUUGGCGGACGGCGGAUAUCAGGAUCUGUCGAAGAAAAAAC